GGUAUAGCUCAGUGGUAGAGUGCGCACUUAGCACACAUGAGGUCCUGGGUUCAAUCCCCAGUAUCACCA
rnacentral:tRNA from 1 species